UACGUAGGGAGCAAGCGUUAUCCGGAUUUACUGGGUGUAAAGGGAGCGUAGACGGAAUUGCAAGUCUGAUGUGAAAAUCCGGGGCCCAACCCCGGAACUGCAUUGGAAACUGUAUUUCUAGAGUGUCGGAGAGGCAAGUGGAAUUCCUGGUGUAGCGGUGAAAUGCGUAGAUAUCAGGAGGAACACCAGUGGCGAAGGCGGCUUGCUGGACGAUGACUGACGUUGAGGCUCGAAAGCGUGGGGAGCAAACAGG
rnacentral:rRNA from 1 species